UGAUAUUCAGUCCCUGAAUAUAUCGUCAAAUAUGGCGGAGGAACUAAAACAUGUGAACGAGGACGAUUUGAGACAGCUGAAAGAUAGGAUGGAUUUAAUCGUGAGCGCUGACCCAGGGCAGUACCACAAUGAUUUUUCAUUGCGAAGAUAUCUACGAGCUUUCAAAACUGUCGACAAUGCAUUCCAAGCUCUAUUAAAAACUAACAAGUGGAGGGCAGAUUAUGGAGUAUCAGAGUUACAAAAUGAUAAGGAGCUCAUAGAAAAGUAUUCAGAUAAAGCUAGGGUGCUAAGACACCGGGAUAUUGCUGGUCGACCCAUUAUUUAUAUUCCCUCCAAGAACCACAGCUCAAGCGACAGGAACAUCGAUGAUUUGACCAAGUUCAUUGUUUACUGUUUGGAAGAUGCAAGCAAAAGGUGUUUUGAAGAAGUAAUAGACAACCUGUGCAUUGUAUUUGACUUGAACAAUUUCACACUGUCUUGUAUGGACUAUCAGGUGCUCAAAAAUCUGAUCUGGUUGCUAAGCAGGCAUUAUCCUGAAAGACUUGGCAUAUGUCUUAUUGUCAAUGCUCCAACUUUUUUCUCCGGGUGCUGGGCUGUCAUAAAAGGAUGGCUAGAUGAAAACACAGCAGGUAAAGUGACAUUUGUUAACUCGGAGAUGGAUCUAUGUCAAUAUCUGAUACCAGAUAUCUUGCCCACUGACAUGUGAAGGGAACAGAUAACACAACGACCAAAUGCAUGGAUUCUUGAUUGACUAGCAUGUACAUUGUGUAGGUAAUAUUAUUUAUGUUACACACUACAUAAUCCUAGCAAUUGUAAGCAAAAAGGAAGUUUAAAAAAUACCUUUAAGGGUCACAAUUUUAGUUUUCCUUAAUAUGCUGUAAAAACAUUUCUGGAAUUUGUAACCUUGAAUAUUUAUUACUAUUGCAUUUAUAACUAAAAUGUUACAAUAAAUCAGUGCUGCAAAUUAAUGUUACUUUUAUGCUAUAACUAGUGGCAUUGUUAAAUGCAAAAUUAACAUUUGUGAGAUUUUCAUAUAUCUAGUGUUGGGUCAUGGAAAAAUUUCCAUUUUGAAAAAGUCACUAUUUUCCGAAUAUUUUUCUUAUUGUUUUUUCUCGUAUUCUUUCCGCAUUUGACAUGUGACACCGUCAAAAGUUGAAGAUACUGGUCGAAAAUUUUUACCUAUGAUUCCAUUGUCCAAUCAUUUUAAAUCUCAUUUUUCUCUAAACAGGCUCUUCCAUUAUCCUGCCUUGCAGUCCGCCGGCAUAAAGCAGGAUUAUUAGCGUGCAAUUGCACGCUUCGACUACAUUCAUUUACUGCAUUACGCUGGCGGACUGCAAACCAGGAUAAUGAAAACCUUUAACUUUUUUAGCUAUUUUAUAAUUCACGCUAAAUAAAACUCUAAAGAUAUUUCUAAACGAAGAACGUAAUAUUAUGAGCCUUCGAAUUAAAUAUUACCAAUUUUUCAGAUAUUCCGGAAAAAUUUCCACUAUUUGAAAUUUUUCGGAAAAUCACCCAACAGUACAUAAUAUAUCUACUUUUGUAACAACUGUGACACCAAACAGUCAAUUAUUAAAACUUUAUUUUGUUACAUGUUUUGUUUCAUAUACUAUUAAGAAAUUGUACUUAAUAUAGUUUUAAUUAUAUUAACAGCCAUAGUUUGUUAUAGAUUAUAUUACACAUAUUUUGUUAAACUUCUGUUACUUGUAUUUGAAGAUUUGUUCACCAUAUUUAAUUUUAAUGCUUUUAAAAUAAUAUUAGUACAUUUAUGUACUUACAAUAGACCUUUACUCUAGUCAUACUAUGUUCGUGAGCUUUCCUUCCGUAUACAUUAAAUCUGCCAUAUACUUUUAAUAUUUUAGUAGAUAUAAGUUGAAUGUAGCUAUUAUCAUGAUUUCUCUACAAAAGCUUGCAAGUACUAUUUUGUUUAGCCUUAGUAUAUAUAAUCCAGGACAAUAACUUUUUAAUUUUGUUUUACUAUAAGUACAAAGCUCAUGUACACAUAAUUUCUUUCUUCUUCUUCUUCACAAUCUUUCUUUAUACUUAGUAGAUGUUCAUAUUGGCAGUAGAAACUCCGUACUUUAAUGUGUUCAUAAACCGAACACAAAAAGACACCUCUCUAGUUCACUCUAUCACGUGUCUAAUUUUAUUAAUAUGUGUUAAUUGAUAUGGAAGGAUAAAUUAAGAAAUAUGUGACGUAAACAACUCACUCUAAGCAAAUCCUGAAAAACUACAGGGUAUGUCUCUUUUAAUUAUUUUUAAUGUAGCAUACUAGUUGAUCAUCAUCAUCCACGCCUCCAGUGGUUUCUGCCACCCACCAAGAACUCUGCUAGUCUCACCCAUCUAUGACCCGUUAGGCUCAAUUUAUAUUGCAGCGGAACGGAAUAGAUGCGAAUUUUUGUAACGAUAUUGUACAUACCGUAUUGAAGUUUGUGGUCAAUUGUGUAACGUCAAACUAGAUACGAGCCAAAAAUCACGUAGCGUGUUUCCGCUGAAUUCUUGAGAAUCCUCGCGCAUUCGCGAGAAAUCCGCAGGCUGCCGAAUCCGCGAAAAUGGCGCGGAGGUAGGCGCAGUGUAACGUCAAACGUCGACGAAAUACUACUGCUCGAGCAUUCCAGUGACCGCGCGCGCUUUCUCGCGCAGAGAGGCGAAAUUGACGCUCCCAUUUCAUUCCGUUCCGCUGCAAUGUAAAUUGAGCCUGAGGGUCUACUCUCGAUCUCC